GAAUGAGAAUGAUGAUGCAUCUUAUGUAACGAUCGGGAAUGAGAGAGAACACUGCAAAUUAGAGAUCCAAAUUCAAUGGAUGGAGAGUAAUCGAUUCAGCUUGGAUCGUAAUUGGUAAGAGCAUUGAUAAGGGGUUAAUUUGCAGUGUUCUCUCUCAUUCCCGAUCGUUUGUGCGUUAUCAUGAUUUAUUU